rnacentral:rRNA from 1 species
CCUACGGGAUGCAGCAGUGGGGAAUAUUGCACAAUGGGCGCAAGCCUGAUGCAGCCAUGCCGCGCGUAUGAAGAAGGCCUUCGGGUUGUAAAGUACUUUCAGCGGGGAGGAAGGUGUUGUGGUUAAUAACCACAGCAAUUGACGUUACCCGCAGAAGAAGCACGGCUAACUCCGUGCCAGCAGCCGCGGUAAUACGGAGGGUGCAAGCGUUAAUCGGAAUUACUGGGCGUAAAGCGCACGCAGGCGGUCUGUCAAGUCGGAUGUGAAAUCCCCGGGCUCAACCUGGGGACUGCAUUCGAAACUGGCAGGCUAGAGUCUUGUAGAGGGGGGUAGAAUUCCAGGUGUAGCGGUGAAAUGCGUAGAGAUCUGGAGGAGUACCGGUGGCGAAGGCGGCCCCCUGGACAAAGACUGACGCUCAGGUGCGAAAGCGUGGGGAGCAAACAGGAUUAGAUACCCUUGUAGUC